ensembl:snoRNA small nucleolar RNA SNORA18
ACCGAGGUCUAUCCCGACAGACUCUUGACAGUGGAGCUUAGUCGUUGGAAAUGCCUCGCAGAAAAACCUGCAGUUUCGCUUUACCUUCAGGGCUAUUGCUAUUAGGCCUGUGGGAUAAAAAUGCAGAACAAAC